rnacentral:rRNA from 1 species
ACGACUACAUAUCAGGCAUAUCAAUAAGCGGAGGAAAAGAAACUAACUAGGAUUCCCUCAGUAACGGCGAGUGAAGCGGGAAGAGCUCAAAUUUGAAAUCUUCAAGGUUCUACCCUGACGAAUUGUAGUUUAAAGAAGUGUUUUCUGUUGGAGUUUUGGUAAAAGUUCUUUGGAAUAGGACAUCAUAGAGGGUGAGAAUCCCGUAUUUGACCAUUAUUUCCAGCUUUGUGAUACACUUUCAAAGAGUCGGAUUGUUUGGGAAUGCAGUCCAAAAUGGGUGGUAAAUUUCAUCUAAAGCUAAAUAUUGGCGAGAGACCGAUAGCGAACAAGUACCGCUGAGGGAAAGAUGAAAAGAACUUUGAAAAGAGAGUUAAACAGUACGUGAAAUUGUCAAAAGGGAAGCGUUUGACACCAGUGUUGUUUUCUCGAAAAUCAAUUAAAAAAGGCAGGAUUUUGUGUUGUAUUGGACUUUAUCAGCUUUCUGCACUCUUUUCUUGUCUUUUUUAAUGCACUUUUCGUUUAACAAGUCAACAUCAAUUUCUUUUGUUGUAAAAGGGUCAUUGGAAGGUGGCUUUCUUUUCGGAGAAAGUGUUUAUAGCCUUUGGCCUCUGCAAUCGGAGAGAUUGAGGUCUGCAGCGUAGAUCCUUCGGGGUUAGAUACAUUUGUGCUAAGUUAUAGCCUUUCAUAGACAACUUGUUGACUAUGAUCAGUCAUGUAGCUUACUCGCUUAUGCUAUUUUACCUACGCUUAGGAUGUUGAGCGCAUGUCUCUCUCU